GACGAACGCUGGCGGCGUGCUUAACACAUGCAAGUCGAGCGAUGAAGCGCCAGCUUGCUGGUGUGGAUUAGUGGCGAACGGGUGAGUAACACGUGAGUAACCUGCCCCCUACUCUGGGAUAAGCCUGGGAAACUGGGUCUAAUACUGGAUAUGACCAAUCACUGCAUGGUGUGUUGGUGGAAAGAUUUUUUGGUGGGGGAUGGACUCGCGGCCUAUCAGCUUGUUGGUGGGGUAAUGGCCUACCAAGGCGACGACGGGUAGCCGGCCUGAGAGGGCGACCGGCCACACUGGGACUGAGACACGGCCCAGACUCCUACGGGAGGCAGCAGUGGGGAAUAUUGCAUAAUGGGCGGAAGCCUGAUGCAGCGACGCCGCGUGAGGGAUGACGGCCUUCGGGUUGUAAACCUCUUUCACCAGGGACGAAGCUAACGUGACGGUACCUGGAGAAGAAGCACCGGCUAACUACGUG
rnacentral:rRNA from 1 species